UAAAAUCCAACGUCUAUCGCCUUGACCCAAACCCAAUUCCUAGAGUACAAUUCUCAAUAAACAAGAAAAUACCAUAUAACACCUUAUAUCCGUUACUUGAAACUAUCAUUUUGUGGCUGGCUGUUGUUUUUCUCAAAAUAUCAUUCAUAAUCUUCAAAAGUACAUUUUUUUUUACAAUGUGUUGGUCAAUAUGUCAAAUACGAGUUGUCACUUGGUGUGAUGGCAGGUAAAAAGCUCGGGUAGCCAGCGCAAGAGCACGGAUUCGAGUCCUGAGAGCGACGACUUUAUGCAUGAAAAAUCAAAAAUUAGGACCGUUUCUAACUCAAUCCUCUCAAAACCCUGUAUAGGCAGAAUCAACACCGGGCUAUGGCCCUUUUUUAUCAGUAUGUCAAAUGCUCUCGGUGCUGGCCCUCUACCCCUAAAUUCUAAGUCAAAAC
rnacentral:lncRNA from 1 species